rnacentral:rRNA from 1 species
AUGAAGGACGUGCUAAUCUGCGAUAAGCGCCGGUAAGGUGAUAUGAACCGUUAUAACCGGCGAUUUCCGAAUGGGGAAACCCAGUGUGAUUCGUCACACUAUCAUUAACUGAAUCCAUAGGUUAAUGAGGCGAACCGGGGGAACUGAAACAUCUAAGUACCCCGAGGAAAAGAAAUCAACCGAGAUUCCCCCAGUAGCGGCGAGCGAACGGGGAGGAGCCCAGAGCCUGAAUCAGCAUGUGUGUUAGUGGAAGCGUCUGGAAAGGCGCGCGAUACAGGGUGACAGCCCCGUACACAAAAGCGCAUGUGCUGUGAGCUCGAUGAGUAGGGCGGGACACGUGGUAUCCUGUCUGAAUAUGGGGGGACCAUCCUCCAAGGCUAAAUACUCCUGACUGACCGAUAGUGAACCAGUACCGUGAGGGAAAGGCGAAAAGAACCCCGGCGAGGGGAGUGAAAAAGAACCUGAAACCGUGUACGUACAAGCAGUGGGAGCACAGGUUUACCUGUGUGACUGCGUACCUUUUGUAUAAUGGGUCAGCGACUUAUAUUCUGUAGCAAGGUUAACCGUAUAGGGGAGCCGUAGGGAAACC